rnacentral:lncRNA from 1 species
GUAAUUGAAGGUAUAUUAACUUAGAGUCAAAGGCUCGACUAGUAAAAAUUUCUAGCAAAAGUUUAGAAGCAGCUGGUUCGAAUGGUUUUUGGAAUGAGAUCAUUAUAGGAUAUUCAGCCUAAAAUCUCUAAGUUAUAGUUUUUUAAUUAAAAAAAUAAAAAUUUGGAAGUAUUAUGUUUUUUUUUUUUUUAUCAAAGGAAGUAUUAUGAUAAAAUCAAGUUUUGUUCAAACAGAAAAGAGAAUGUGCCAUCGUUGCGAGCAUUAGAAUUGCAACUGAUGGACAUGCUUCGGGGCUACUGGUAAUCAAGUGAACGAGUUGGAUGAGGGAAACAUAAAUGUGGGAGGCAUGACAAUGGAUCAAAGGAAUUAACUGUUUAAAAUAAUACUCUUUAUGUAUCACAAAUAUUGAUUUUCUCAAGUUUUAUUUUGUGAUUUUAUGUCAACUUUUAUCAGUUAAUGCUAACAAUUCUAAAUUUCGAGAAUCAUUAAUUGCGAAUUUAAUUUUUGGUAAAUUA